rnacentral:rRNA from 1 species
GCCUAAUACAUGCAAGUCGAGCGAGCGGAACUAACAGAUUUACUUCGGUAAUGACGUUAGGAAAGCGAGCGGCGGAUGGGUGAGUAACACGUGGGGAAUCUGCCCCAUAGUCUGGGAUACCACUUGGAAACAGGUGCUAAUACCGGAUAAGAAAGCAGAUCGCAUGAUCAGCUUUUAAAAGGCGGCGUAAGCUGUCGCUAUGGGAUGGCCCCGCGGUGCAUUAGCUAGUUGGUAAGGUAAAGGCUUACAAGGGCGAUGAUGCAUAGCCGAGUUGAGAGACUGAUCGGGCCACAUUGGGGACUGGAGACACGGGGCCCAAACUCCUACGGGGGGAGGGGCAGCAGGUAGGGGAAUCUUCCACAAUGGACGCAAGUCUGAUGGAGCAACGCCGCGUGAGUGAAGAAGGUUUUUCGGAUCGUAAAGCUCUGCUGUUGGUGAAGAAGGAUAGAGGUAGUAACUGGCCUUUAUUUGACGGUAAUCAACCAGAAAGUCACGGCUAACUACGUGCCAGCAGCCGCGGUAAU